rnacentral:rRNA from 1 species
CCUACGGGCGGCAGCAGUGAGGAAUAUUGGUCAAUGGGCGGGAGCCUGAACCAGCCAAGCCGCGUGCGGGAAGAAGGUACAGCGUAUCGUAAACCUCUUUUGUCAGGGAACAAAGGCGGGGACUAGUACCCGGAUGAGGGUACUUGACGAAAAAGCAUCGGCUAACUCCGUGCCAGCAGCCGCGGUAAUACGGAGGAUGCGAGCGUUAUCCGGAUUUAUUGGGUUUAAAGGGUGCGUAGGCUGUACGUUAAGUCAGCGGUGAAAUGCCCCGGCGUAACGGGGGGAAGUGCCUUUGAUACUGCCUAGCUGGAAUGCGGAUGCGGUAGGAGGAAGGUAUGGUGUAGCGGUGAAAUGCAUAGAGAUCACACAGAACACCGAUUGCGAAGGUAUCUCACGAAUC